UACGUAGGGGGCAAGCGUUGUCCGGAAUCAUUGGGCGUAAAGAGCGUGUAGGCGGCCCGGUAAGUCUGUUGUGAAAGUCCAGGGCUCAACCCUGGAAUGCCGAUGGAUACUGCCGGGCUAGAGUUCGGAAGAGGCGAGUGGAAUUCCUGGUGUAGCGGUGGAAUGCGCAGAUAUCAGGAGGAACACCUAUAGCGAAGGCAGCUCGCUGGGACGAUACUGACGCUGAGACGCGAAAGCGUGGGGAGCGAACAGG
rnacentral:rRNA from 1 species